CACCCUAUGAUUACCCCAUUUCCGCAGACAUCAAUGAGUGCACCAGAGGGCCUUGUCACCAUGGACGCUGUGAGAACGAAGAUGGCGGAUACAGCUGCUCCUGCUCCACUGGAUGGACUGGACAGAAUUGUGAGCAUGGCGGCCCUGCCCUAACUGUCUACAUUGGACUGAAGAAUGGCAAGUGGACAGAUGGAUCUCAACUUUCCUAUACCAACUGGGCUCCUGGUGAACCUAACGGCAAGGCAUUGCUGUCUUGGUCUCACUCCCACUGUGCCGUUAUAUUCACAAGGAACGGCAAGGACUGGAUCGGUGGAAAGGAGAGGCAUAAAGGAGAAUGGGUGGACUAUCGAUGCGAUUUCGCCAAGCCUUACAUUUGCAAGGCUCCAAAAUAAGAACAUGUGAUUGAGGAAAGAUUUAAGACAAGAACGAAAAUAAAAGGACAUCGAUAAUUCGUCUGAGUAAAAUCUUUCUCCCAAAUGUUGUCACAGCUUUUGAAAGUAAUAAAAAUGGAAGAAAAACCAAAAUAUGACGGAAGAGAAAAAAUUAAAAGAGGGGUGGUGGAUGACACCGAAAACCAUAUGCAUUGUCAAGUAUAAAUGUUGUAAUCACGGUUACAUUGCCAUUCAUUUGGCAAUCAUCGUAUAUCACUUUACCGUAUCGAUGCCUCAAUGCGUACAGAAAUUAUUAUCAUUGCAAAAAUCAAUAACUGUUGUCAAACAAAAGCCAUUUUGCUGGUUUUACAAUUCAAAAAUAAAAAUGCUUAGAAGAUCAACAUAAUAGCGCUGCGUGACCUGUAAACGCAUUGCCAAAUGCUGAGUUUUAAUUCCUAGGGCAUACACGUUACACAGUACACGGACCAUCUUAGCAAAACAAAACUGUGAAAUGUUAUGCCUCGUAAUCCCAAAAUCCCAGACUGGUGCGGUCCAGCUGGACAACUCCACUUUAUUGCACCAUCCGGAUAAUUGCACGAAAUACGCUGGUAA